rnacentral:lncRNA from 1 species
UCGAUAAGGCUCAUCCCAUUUAAUUGAUUUUAAUCAUACUGAUUUUUGCAGUAAAAGAUGGAAGCAGAAGAAUCUGGCACAAAAGAAGUGAAAAGCGACUUACAGAAUCAUGUCUAUUUACGCUACAGGAACACUAACUAAAAAACUAGGGGAGCCAUUGAUAGAAGUUAGCAACCCCACUUUUAUAAUAGAACCAAGAGUAGAGAAUUUACAUGUAGCUAUCAUGUUGAACAUUAUAUGCCUCUUUUUUCCUUUAACAGCCCCCGCGGCCCAUCAACACUGCAUGAAUAGAAAAGAUAAGAACAGGUUAGGCAUGGGGAGGUGAAGAAAGGAAGAAAGCAAUUAAGCAAUACUUACUAAAGAUUAAAAGAAGAAGGAAAGAAAGAAUGGUUCCUUGGUAAUCUAAGGUGAGAAAACAUUGAAGGGUAAUGAGAUACAACGAGAGGUAGUAUCUUAACUCUGCACAACAAGGUAGCAUGUUUCCAGUAUUAUACAAAUGUCAGGUACUUUUUUAUAGGAUGAAGUUGAAAAAGGAUACUGACAUAGUGUUUUUUCUCAAGAACUACUUGCCAACACCAAACUGGCCAUGGUUACGACAUAAUCUAAAGUGAGCAUUAGUUGGAUGCCAUUUACUUGAAAACUGCGUGAAGAAACAAAGAAGCACAUGCUCUCACACAAAAAACAAUUGAACGGUGUUUCGUAUUGUGAUUCUACUGACGAAAAAUCUCGGACCAAAGCCUCGUACUUCCCAUUUCAAGGCCACAAACGUAUUUCAGUUACAAUGCAGCCGUCUUUGAGUCUGAACGAGUUCGUUCAGGUGGCUCAAGUAAUUAAGGAAAUUUUGACAUGCCAUUGGAGAGCUAGAUUAGAUGUGAUUUAGAAGUCAAUUAAAUAUGCAUGCACCUAGCCUGUAGGAUUUGGCAGAAGACAUUUAGAGAUGGAAAUCAACCCGCAGAGAGACGUACUAGCCGGGGCUACAACAUUAAGAACAUGGGAAGAAGAAUUAGUAAGCACCUGGCGAGUAGUAUGUAAUCCGUGGAGAUGAAUGGAGGG